UACAGAGGUGGCAAGCGUUGUUCGGAAUUACUGGGCGUAAAGGGCGCGUAGGCGGCCUGCUAAGUCGAACGUGAAAUCCCCGGGCUCAACCCGGGAACUGCGUCCGAGACUGGCGGGCUCGAAUUCGGGAGAGGGAUGCGGAAUUCCAGGUGUAGCGGUGAAAUGCGUAGAGAUGUGGAGGAAUACCGAUGGCGAAGGCAGCCCCCUGGGACAUGACUGACGCUCAUGCACGAAAGCGUGGGGAGCAAACAGG
rnacentral:rRNA from 1 species